rnacentral:rRNA from 1 species
CGUAGGAGGCAAGCGUUAUCCGGAGUUACUGGGCGUAAAGCGCGUGUAGGUGGAUUGGUAAGUUACUUAUAAAAGCUCCUGGCUAAACUAGGAGAGGUAGGGUGAUACUGCCAGUCUUGAAUAGAGGAGAGGUUGACGGAAUUCCGCGUGUAGUGGUGAAAUGCGUAGAGAUGCGGAAGAACACCAGUGGCGAAGGCGGUCAACUGGCCUCAUAUUGACACUCAGACGCGAAGGCAUGGGUAGCGAACGGGAUUAGAAACCCCGGUAGUCCAUGCAAUAAACGAUGUACACUGAAUGUUCGUUGUCCUACGGGGCAAUGAGUGUUGAAGCUAAACGCGUUAAGUGUACCGCCUGGGGAGUACGGUCGCAAGGCUAA